AAAUCUUGGUUCCUUAGCAUGGAAUUUUAAAGCAGCAUAGAUCUUCAUGUACUCUUCAAACACAAAUUUUGGGUACACAUUGUGUUUUUCCUCUGUCUGUUUUUCCAACAAUUCUGGAGCAGGGUAAAUGACAGCAUCACUCCCAGGGUUGUAGAAUGAUGCUAUGGACAUUCUUGUUCCAUUUGUUUGUGCUAUCACACGGUGUUCCACACUCUUGUACUUGCCAUUUGUUAUUACCUGUUUGUACAAAAUAGUGUCAGAUAAAGUGUCCUGUUUUUUGCACUUGAGAGAUAUAAAUGCUAAAAAUAGUAACCGUAUCCCAAGAUGAUUUUUCAUAUUAGUGUCGAAUAUUUUUGGUCAGAUUAGAAUAUAUGACUUAUGUCAAAUCUUGUGUAUGGAUCCUUUGCAAUGGCAAAUUGAAUUACUUGCAGUCAAAUUUUGGUUGCAACCAUGUAUUCAUGAAACCAGUGGUUGAUGAAUCGAGAUUGGACGGUCUAGAUUUAAAUUACUUGAUUUUUAUAUUAAAAUAAAAAAUUUCAAGUUUGAAACUUGGAUCUUUGAUCCAACACUACCGUUAUUUGACUGCGUAAAUUUGUUAAUUUUUUUUCUUUCAGGCUACAACAUAGGGAGGAGGAUUCAAAUCCGUCAAUAUAAUCGGGAUUUAGACCCUCUAACAUGAGUAAAGUGUAAAGUGAGAAAAUCAAGGGUUGUUAAACAACUUAUGGUUUGUUGCUCACUUUAGAGCAGCAGGAUUCAAGGACUUAAUAUAGAUUUUUUUUUAAGUUUGAGAAUUGAAAUGAGAGUUGACUUGGUAAAGGAAUUUUUUUUAC
rnacentral:lncRNA from 1 species